rnacentral:lncRNA from 1 species
AUGGAGGAUUCUGAUUCCUACUACCCAAGAAAUUUACUGGAGGGGGGCCAUAUUAUCACUGGAGGGAGGUCAUAUAUUGGAUGGAGGAGUCAUAUUUUUGCUAGAGGGGGGCUAUAUUUGGUUGGAGGGGGGUCAUAUAUUGGUUGGAGGGGACCAUAUAAUGUCUGGAGGGGGGUCAUAUUGGUUGGAGGGGGGCUAUAUCUUGGCUGGGGGGGGCAUAUAUUGGUUGGAAGGGGGGCCAUAUAUUGGUUGGAGGGGGGCAUAUAUUGGUUGGAGGGGGGCCAUAUAUUGGUUGGAGGGGGGCCAUAUAUUGGUUGGAGGGGGGCCAUAUAUUGGUUGGAGGGGGGCCAUAUAUUGGUUGGAGGGGGGCCAUAUAUUGGUUGGAGGGGGGCCAUAUAUUGUCUGGAGGGGGGUCAUAUUGGUUGGAGGGGGGCUAUAUCUUGGUUGGAGGGGGGUCAUAUAUUGGUUGGAGGGGGGCCAUAUAUUGGUUGGAGGGGGGCCAUAUAUUGGUUGGAGGGGACCAUAUAUUGUCUGGAGGGGGGUCAUAUUGGUUGGAGGGGGGCUAUAUCUUGGUUGGAGGGGGGUCAUAUAUUGGUUGGAGGGGACCAUAUAUUGUCUGGAGGGGGGUCAUAUUGGUUGGAGGGGGGCUAUAUCUUGGUUGGAGGGGGGCCAUAUAUUGGUUGGAGGGGACCAUAUAAUGUCUGGAGGGGGGUCAUAUUGGUUGGAGGGGGGCCAUAUAUUGGUUGUUGGGGGGCCAUAUAUUGGUUGGAGGGGGGUCAUAUAUUGGUUGAAGGGGGGUCAUAUAUUGGUUGGAGGGGGGCCAUAUCUUGGUUGGAGGGGGGCCAUAUCUUGGUUGGAGGGGGGCCAUAUAUUGGUUGGAGGGGGGUCAUAUAUUGGUUGGAGGGGGUUCAUAUAUUGGUUGGAGGGGGGUCAUAUAGUGGCUGGAGGGGGGUCAUUUAUGGUUGGAAGGGGGUCAUAAAUUGGCUGGAGGGGGGUCAUAUAGUGGCUGGAGGGGGGUUAUAUGUUGGCUGA